UAGGGAAUCUUCCGCAAUGGGCGAAAGCCUGACGGAGCAACGCCGCGUGAGUGAAGAAGGUCUUCGGAUCGUAAAACUCUGUUAUUAGGGAAGAACAAAUGUGUAAGUAACUAUGCACGUCUUGACGGUACCUAAUCAGAAAGCCACGGCUAACUACGUGCCAGCAGCCGCGGUAAUACGUAGGUGGCAAGCGUUAUCCGGAAUUAUUGGGCGUAAAGCGCGCGUAGGCGGUUUUUUAAGUCUGAUGUGAAAGCCCACGGCUCAACCGUGGAGGGUCAUUGGAAACUGGAAAACUUGAGUGCAGAAGAGGAAAGUGGAAUUCCAUGUGUAGCGGUGAAAUGCGCAGAGAUAUGGAGGAACACCAGUGGCGAAGGCGACUUUCUGGUCUGUAACUGACGCUGAUGUGCGAAAGCGUGGGGAUCAAACAGGAUUAGAUACCCUGGUAGUCCACGCCGUAAACGAUGAGUGCUAAGUGUUAGGGGGUUUCCGCCCCUUAGUGCUGCAGCUAACGCAUUAAGCACUCCGCCUGGGGAGUACGACCGCAAGGUUG
rnacentral:rRNA from 1 species